UAGGGAAUCUUCGGCAAUGGGGGGAACCCUGACCGAGCAACGCCGCGUGAGUGAAGAAGGUUUUCGGAUCGUAAAGCUCUGUUGUUAAGGAAGAACGAGUGUGAGAAUGGAAAGUUCAUACUGUGACGGUACUUAACCAGAAAGGGACGGCUAACUACGUGCCAGCAGCCGCGGUAAUACGUAGGUCCCGAGCGUUGUCCGGAUUUAUUGGGCGUAAAGCGAGCGCAGGCGGUUAGAUAAGUCUGAAGUUAAAGGCAGUGGCUCAACCAUUGUAGGCUUUGGAAACUGUUUAACUUGAGUGCAGAAGGGGAGAGUGAAAUUCCAUGUGUAGCGGUGAAAUGCGUAGAUAUAUGGAGGAACACCGGUGGCGAAAGCGGCUCUCUGGUCUGUAACUGACGCUGAGGCUCGAAAGCGUGGGGAGCGAACAGG
rnacentral:rRNA from 1 species